GCAUAUCAAUAAGCGGAGGAAAAGAAACCAACAGGGAUUGCCCUAGUAACGGCGAGUGAAGCGGCAACAGCUCAAAUUUGAAAUCUGGCGUCUUUGGCGUCCGAGUUGUAAUUUGCAGAGGGCGCUUUGGCAUUGGCAGCGGUCCAAGUUCCUUGGAACAGGACGUCACAGAGGGUGAGAAUCCCGUACGUGGUCGCUAGCCUUUACCGUGUAAAGCCCCUUCGACGAGUCGAGUUGUUUGGGAAUGCAGCUCUAAAUGGGAGGUAAAUUUCUUCUAAAGCUAAAUACUGGCCAGAGACCGAUAGCGCACAAGUAGAGUGAUCGAAAGAUGAAAAGCACUUUGGAAAGAGAGUUAAAAAGCACGUGAAAUUGUUGAAAGGGAAGCGCUUGCAGCCAGACUUGCCUGUAGUUGCUCAUCCGGGUUUUUACCCGGUGCACUCUUCUAUAGGCAGGCCAGCAUCAGUUUGGGCGGUUGGAUAAAGGUCUCUGUCACGUACCUCCUCUCGGGGAGAACUUAUAGGGGAGACGUAAUGCAACCAGCCUGGACUGAGGUCCGCGC
rnacentral:rRNA from 1 species